rnacentral:lncRNA from 10 species
GAGGGAACCCAAAGAGGGUAGCCAUUGCCAGCUCGAAUGCCUGGGUUUAUAUCCCAAUCACUGUCCCUCCCACUAUGCUCUCAGGUGAUAGAUGAUUGGCUAUUUCUUUACCUCCUGUUUUUGCCUAAUUAGCAUAUUAGGGAGUUCUCUUUACUACCUGGUUGGUGGGGUGUGAGCUAAGUUGCAAGCCCCGUGUUUAAAAGUGGAUGCAGUCACCUUCCCAGCUAGACUUAGGGAUUCUUAGUCGGCACAACAGGCAAUUGUUAUAAAUUCUUGUUAAGUCACUCCCUUUUCUUUCUCUCUACCAAGAAGUAGAAAGAGAUUAAAGUGCGUCCUCUCCAGAGGUAUAUGCACAGUAGGAAAGUAUAGGAAAUCUGAAGGUCUUCAGGACUCAAAAAAAUGAACUAACCAAUGGUGGGUUUUCAGGCACCAUGGCAUCAAGUGGAGGAAACCGUCUGGGAGCAGUUUGCUUCCAGGAGAUACCACCAGCCCACUGUGUUAACAGUGGUGCCUCUGAUUCCUGGGUAGGGCAGGGGUCCCAGGAUUGCAGAAUGUUAGAGCAGAAAGAGACCUGUUUCUACACUCCUGACUUCAGAGGAAAGGAAUCAGGGCCUGCAGAAGUUAAAGCAAUUUGUCCAAGGCUCCUCAGCAUAAUAAAGGCAGGGCCUGGUCUA